GCUUACGGCCACACCGCCUGGUUCACGCCUGAUCUCGUUUGAUCUCGGAAGCUAAGGUAGGUUGGGCCUGGUUAGUACUUGGAUGGGAGACCGCCUGGGAAUACCAGGUGCUGUAAGCU
ensembl:rRNA 5S_rRNA 5S ribosomal RNA